GCCGCAGCCAUGGAGGGAGGCGGCGGCGGCGGCGGUGGCGGCUCGGGCGGCUGCGCCGGGAGGCGGCGGUGAGCGGCUCCCACGCCCCUGGCCCGGGCACGGCCCCCCGGGACGGAGCGCCGAGCAGCCCCGGCUCCGGGCUACGGACUAUGGGCGAGCAGCGCUGAGCACCGGGGGAAGAGCUGAGGAUGAAGCGAAGAGCAUCAGACAGAGGAGCUGGGGAAACGUCGGCCAGGGCGAAGGCUCUAGGAAGUGGGAUUUCUGGAAAUAAUGCCAAGAGAGCUGGACCGUUCAUCCUGGGUCCCCGUCUGGGCAACUCACCAGUGCCAAGCAUCGUGCAGUGUUUGGCGAGGAAAGACGGCACGGAUGACUUCUAUCAGCUGAAGAUCCUUACCCUCGAGGAGAGGGGCGACCAAGGAAUAGAAAGCCAAGAGGAGAGGCAAGGCAAGAUGCUGUUACACACCGAGUACUCCCUGCUCUCCCUCCUCCACACGCAGGAUGGGGUGGUUCACCACCACGGGCUCUUCCAGGACCGCACCUGUGAAAUUGUUGAGGACGCAGAAUCCAACCGAAUGGUUAAGAAGAUGAAGAAGCGCAUCUGUCUCGUCCUUGACUGCCUCUGCGCACAUGACUUCAGUGACAAGACCGCCGACCUGAUCAACCUGCAGCACUACGUCAUCAAGGAGAAGAGGCUCAGCGAGCGGGAGACCGUGGUCAUCUUCUACGACGUGGUGCGUGUGGUGGAGGCCCUGCACCAGAAAAACAUCGUGCACAGAGACCUGAAGCUUGGGAACAUGGUGCUCAACAAGAGGACGCAUCGGAUAACCAUCGCCAACUUCUGCCUGGGGAAGCACCUCGUGAGCCAGGGGGACCUGCUGAAGGACCAGCGGGGGAGCCCCGCCUACAUCAGCCCGGACGUGCUCAGCGGCCGGCCGUACCGGGGCAAGCCGAGCGACAUGUGGGCUCUGGGCGUGGUGCUCUUCACCAUGCUCUACGGCCAGUUCCCCUUCUAUGACAGCAUCCCACAGGAGCUCUUCCGCAAGAUCAAGGCUGCUGAAUACACCAUCCCCGAGGACGGGCGGGUUUCUGAGAACACCGUGUGUCUCAUCCGGAAACUGCUGGUCCUCGACCCCCAGCAGCGCCUGGCCGCUGCCGAUGUCCUGGAGACCCUCAGUGCCAUCAUCGCAUCAUGGCAGUCCCUGUCCUCUCUCAGCGGGCCUUUGCAGGUGGUUCCUGAUAUCGACGACCAAAUGAGCAACUCAGACAGCUCCCAGGAGGCGAAGGUGACGGAGGAGUGCUCCCAGUACGAGUUUGAGACCUACAUGCGGCAGCAGCUGAUGCUGGCCGAGGAGAAGAGCUCCGUGCACGAGGCCCGCAGCUGGGUGCCCAAGCGGCAGCUGGGCAGCGCGCCGCCCGUGCGCCGGCUGGGCCACGACGCACAGCCCAUGAACCCUUUGGACGCAGCCAUCCUGGCGCAGCGCUACCUGCGGAAAUAGCCUCGGGCAGGGGCACCGGCACCACCCGCCGCCUCUUCCCGGCCCCCAGCCAACGGCCCCGGCUGCCGGCUGGGCCCCGUAGUGCUGAACUCUCUCCAAGGCCACACCGGGGACGGGGCAGGGACAGCCCAGGUCACACAUGGGGUCAGCAGAGGUGGCUCGGCCCACGGCCACUCCCUGCCCCCAGCCUGGCUGGACAGCAGGGAGUCCACAGCCCCCGAUGGGCCCCCUCCUCGUGCCCAGGCUCAGAAGCCCCUUCUUGCCGGCCCCUCUCCACCUCCAGCCCACCAGUCCUUCCUUGUUUCUGGUGAUGGGGAGGCCUUUCUACACUUGGUUCUCUUCCUCCCAUCUCAGCUUCUCUGAGGUGCUGUACCCCCGCAUUAGCCCCCAUUUCCUCCUCCCCCUCACCGUGGUACCAAGGUGACACUGACACGGAUGGGCAGGGUGCCUGGUGGGCGGCUGGGAGGGGUGCUCUGGGCCGCUGUGAACAGGCAGCCCUGCUUGCAUGCCCCCACGCUCCCCUCACCCCUCUGUGUUCAGAGAACGGUGGGAGCAUCUCCCCUCCUGCCCCUGCCUCAUCAUAGAGGUGGGUGUCUCUCCCAGCAGACCACCAGGGUCACCAGGGUCCUUCCUGGGGGCUGCAGGGCUUGUGGGGAGAAUUAUAGGGACUGGGGGGCCCAGCCUGGCUUGAGAACAGCCCUGCUGCCCUUUUGAGCCGAGAUUUUGAAGUGGAUGCCCGUCUUGCCAGAAACUGUUCUCACCAGAAUGCCCUCCUUCCCACUCUCCCGCAUUGGACUUGGCCCUGCCCGGUGCCGAGCAAAGACCUUCCCCUGGCCUACCCCCCAGGCCCCUCCGAGCAGCCAAGUGUACCCCUCCAGGCAGCCCAGGCCCUCGGGCCCUUCCUGCCUGCCCUUACUCCCCAGUGGGGAGGCGACCGAGGCCUGCGUGACCUUGUUUCCCAGAGUGUGAGCUGCCUCUCCCCAAGAACUGACUCACUGUGAGUGAAUUGGGCAAGGUCCCAAACCUCCUUGUGCCUCAGUUUCCCCAUCUGGAAAAAAUGGGGCCACCUCUUGCCAGCAGUAGCAGGGCUGCCCACGCCCCUUCCUCCCUAUGCCCCAUCCCGGCACCUGGGCGCCGCGUGCCUCUGCCUCAGCGGGUCCGUGGGAGCCCUCCUGAGCCCAGCACUUACUCCCCAGAGCACCAGGCUUGGCCUCCCUCAGCCGUCCAGCUGCUGAGAGCCAGGCUCUUGUGCUGGGGGGGCGGGAUGCCCUCUUUUCUGUAUUUAUUUCAAAAAGAAGUCUCCUAAAGGAGUAGAAAUAUAGUCCGGCCCAGGGCUCCCAGCCCCUGUGACUGUCCACCUGUGAGGGCCUCACCCGAGCCCCUUGUGCAGCAGCCUGCCCAGAUCCUCUGGGCCUGAUUGCCUGGUGGUCUUUCUCCUCCUUUUCAAAGCAAUACCCUCCAGGUCUGCAAAGCCUGUCAGACAGACUGGUCCCUUCCAAGGUCAACCCACCGUGUGUCUGAUUAAUUUCUGGCAAAGCGAAUGAGAGGAGGUUGGGUCUGCCCUCACUGGGUGUCACACGCUGAAAGAAGUCCUAUUGUAAAAAAACAAAACGGAAAAAGUCACAAAAAAGUUUGUAUAAAGUCAUAUUUUUGUACUACAUGGGGACUUUUCCUGCAUGUCAGCAAUAAAACUUCCUGAUCUGGAGGCAGCGUGGUCUGUAUCGU